CUUGCCUCGUAUGUCUCCGCUUAGUAUCGUAAUAUUAACGUAAGGAAGAGAAGGUACGAGUUUAGUAAUAAAAAUACUACUUUAACUACUACUACCAAUACUCCUACUACUUAUACUACUACCUCUACUAUUACAACUACCUCUGCUACUACUACUACUACUACUACUACUACUAUCGUCAGUGAGAUAUAUAUACUUAAGAAAUCAUGUUAUAUUCGAUGAUAGUUUAAUUACGUAAUGACAUUUUUUUCUUUCUUUCCUUCCUUCCUUCCUUCCUUUCUUUCUUUACACACACACACACACACACACACACACAUUUUGACAGGAGAUUCAUACGAGCGCAGCGACCAACCACACACACACACACACAUACACACACACACGCACACACACGCUACGCCAAAAUGCAAGCAAGCAAGCAAGCGCCGCCUACGACAACUCGCAGCCUCGGCCGAAACUACGUACAGCCGACACGAACGCAAAGGAUUGGAACACUUCAUUACGUAACACAGUCUUGCCCCCGAAGAAUAUUUAACAGUGCUUAUACGGUUUAAAAUAACACUCGGUUUUUUAUCCUCUUUGUCGCGUCCCUGUGUGUUCGUAUUUACGUAUUUACGCCUUCGAUUUUUGUCCCAGGUUGACGACUCUUCUUUGUAUUUUCCGCUCCACUGUGUCACGUCUCCUCCUCCGAUCCGACCUUUGUCAUAACGUCGGUUUUGUUUAGGUUUUCGAUUUUCCCGAACGUGUUUUGUGACAACACUUACGAUUAUUAAUUUUUUUAUUCUCCUUUCUCUGUCGGGUUUUGUGAGGGUGUGGUGUGGUCUGUCCAGACACGCGCACACCCCAUGUACGUUUAUGUAAUCUUACUUUUUGGGGGUAUUUUAAUAAAUGCCGUGAACGUUUCUUUAGGUUACGGAUGCAAGCGCCUGUUAUUACAGCCAUAGUUCUCUCUCUCUCUCUCUCUCUCUCUCUCUCUCUCUCUCUCUCUCUCUCUCUCUCUCUCUCUCUCUCUCUCUCUCUCUCUCUCUGUGUGUGUUCGUAUGUGCUAGAUUUUUUUUAUUAUUUCUUGUUGAGGUUAGUUCUGUCUUCCUCCUCCUCCUCUUCCUCCUCCUCCUCCUCCUCCUCUACCUCCUCCUCCUCCUCCUCUUGUGCCAAAUGAAUGCAUGAUAUUUUUUUUUCCUUCAUAUAUAUUAAUUUUUUUCUCUCCUCCUCCUCCUCCUCCUCUUCUUCCUCUUUCCUGGUAAUCACAUGGAGCCUUUUACUUAUUAUUAUUAUUAUUAUUAUUAUUAUUAUUAUUAUUAUUUUUAUUAUUAUUGUUAUUUCUAUGUCCCUUUCUGCACAAAAAGUCGUGUAAUUGGUGGGCCGAGCAAGCCAAUUUGUACGCACUGACCCUAUUAGCACUUGCAAUAGUAGUAGUAAUAGUAAUAGUAGUAGUAGUAGUAGUAGUAGUAGCAGUAGGGGUAGUGUGUCUGUAGUAUUGAUAGUAGUAGUAGUGUUAGUGUUAGUAGUAGUAGUAGUAGUGAUAGUAGUAGUAGUUGUAGUAGUAGUAGUAGUAGUAGUAGUAGUAGUAGUAGUAGUAGUAGUAGUAGUAGCAGCAGCAGAUGAAUCAAACACUCGUUCAUAACUAUCUUUCUUUCUUUCUUUCUAUUUUCCAUCAAUAUUUUUUUCCUGGUUUUUUCCCUCUACUUAAAGCGAGUACUAAUAGGCGUGCCUCGGUGCGUACAAACUGGCCUUACAAUCAACAACAGCAAACAAGAACAACAACAACAACAAGAGCAGUAGAGCAUUGCCUCACCAACACCCUUUCCUCCUUACCACACAAACGUAUCACUAUUAUUACCAUCAUUAUUAUUAUUAUUAUUAUUAUUAAACACGUAAUGGAAAAACAUAAUAAAAUGGAUCCGAGGACUUGCGGUGGUGAGCGACGGGGCGGCCGAUGCGUCUUUUUAAAAUAUCAUCAAAACAUUGUGACUGAUUAGGGUAACACAAUGGCUGCCGGCAAUUCUGGUCCUGAAGGAAGUCUGUUAGGUAGCAUUAUUUCUUAUUUUGGUAUUCAGUGCUGGUUGUUAUAAUAGGUUAGCCCACAUGACAGGCAGGUCCACAGGCAUACGAGUCGGGUUUAGACAGACUUUUUUGGCCUAGCAGCCUGACCGGACCUCUUGACUAACAGUGCGUAAAUCAAAUCCAGCCCUCUAGUGUUUUUUUCUUUCUGUUUAUAAGUUAACUAUGAGCCCGUGGUGACAGACAGGCUGGGCGGAACAACCCAGACUCAGCACUCACUUCAAUUUGACACUUGUGACUUUACGUAAUACUUGUAAUUAGGGGGCAAAUGUACCAAUUAACCUUUAUGUAUCAGAAAGCUCUACCCAGGAACUUUAAUUUGAUGCAGAGUAGGGAGACAUUCAGAGCACGGACAGGUAACUGCGUCAUCUCAAACCUCAGUCUUUACGUACCCAAAAAAUAUGUCCGUGUGGAGUCGGCCGCUCUAUCACUCACCGCCUAUGUCCUGUACGACCUCUGGAGUGCGUAGCCUAACUGUGAAGGUCGCCCCUUACGCCAUUCAAUUAGUCUAUAGUUUUAUAAUAUGGUGCUCUAAAGAAAGGAAUAAUACUAAUCGUCUAAGCACUUCUUAUUACGAGGCCGAGCGGUUACGUUACGAAGCCUGGCCGCCGCCGCCGCUGCCGCCUCUUGGAAUGCAUUGCCGUCUUACGAAUAGUGUUUUUAAAUGUGUCUGUAAUUAUUAACUAUCUAUAUAUAUUAGGCUAUUAUUAUUAUUAUUAUCAUUAUUAUUAUUAUUAUUAUUAUUUUUGAUUGCAAUUUCACGCCCAUUUCUCUUCUCGAGCGUAAUGUGAUGUUGUUUUCUUUCUUUUUCUCUCUUUCUCUCUCUCUCUCUGUUCCUUUUCUUUCUUAUUUCUCUUUUUUUUAUCUUUCCUUCUCUCCAUUCUCUCAUUUUUCCUCCAUUUCCUUCUUUUUCUUAUUUACUUCUCUCUCUCUCUCUCUCUCUCUCUCUCUCUCUCUCUCUCUCUCUCUCUCUCUCUCUCCAUUUGCUCACCCUCUAUCUCUCUCCUCCUCUCUCUUUCAAUAUCUUUUCCAUUUCUCUCUCUCUCUCUCUCUCUCUCUCUCUCCAUUCGCUCACCCUCUCUCUCUCUUUCAAUAUCUUUUCCAUUUCUUUCCGCAUUUCUCUUUCUCUCUCUCUCUCUCUCUCUCUCUCUCUCUCUCUCUCUCUCUCUCUCUCUCUCUCUCUCCUUGGGUUUACGAUAUAAGAACAGGAGUCGGAUUUUGACACACCAUUUAUACGUCUUGAACACCAAUAAAAGUCCUUCCUCAAUCCUCACUGGUUUUAUUUAUUACAUUAUUUAUUUCCUGAUGCAGGGGUGGAGGGGGAGGGGGGAGUGUGUGUGUGUGUGUGUGUGUGUGUGUGUACGUAAUGAGUGUGGUAAUAAUGAUGAUAGUUCUUCUUGUUCUUGUUCUUCUUGUUCUUCUUGUUCUUCUUGUUCUUCUUCUUCCUUUUCUUCUUCUUCUUCUUCUAGUAAUGUAUGGUCAUCUUCCUCCUCCUCCUCCUCCUUCUCCUUCUCCUUAUUCUUCUUCAUAUUCCUAAGUUUCCUCCUCCUCCUCCUCCUCCUCCUCUCUCUCCCAUCAAUACUAUCAUUACUAUUAUUAUUAUUAAGUAACAAAUAAGUAUAUAACACUGUCUAACCUAACUAUAUAAAUUCCUCUAAUAACAUAUAUAUCUAAAUGCCUUGAAUAAGUGUGUAUAUAUAUCUUACUGAAUUACAGAUUUAUAUAGAACUAAAUUAUGUAUAUGGGAACUUAAACCUUGGUAGUAGUAGUAGUAGCAGUAGUAGUAGUAGUAGUAGUAGUAGUAGUAG